CCUGGUGGCUAAGAGGUUAAAGCGUCUGCCUGCAAUGCGGGAGACCUGGGUUCGAUCCCUGGGUCAGGA
rnacentral:tRNA from 1 species